rnacentral:lncRNA from 1 species
CUUCUCCUGCUUGAGAGGCCUAAAAUCCCUUCUCCCUUAAUUAUGCAGACUAGUAGAGACGGUUCCCUCCGCGGGAGGGGCCGCCACUGCCUCGCCUGCCAGCCCAGCUCAGCCUUCCAGAGGUGAGGUCACCGCUGGCUCAGCUGGGCUCCCCGGAGGGAGGGCGAGGGUGUGAGCCUUCCUACCUGUGACUCUCAUGGUUCCUCCAGCAGAACCUCAUGAAUGCACCUGGGCGUGGAGGAGAGGGGACCAAGAAGCCCGAGGAACACUUGGUUUUUGCAGCCUUUUCUUUGUGGCAGAGUUUUGGAUUCCUGAAAUCUCUUAAGAAUGAGCGACAAGGUGCCAGACGUGAUUUAGUCUCUGGGUGCCAAGGCCCCUGUUGCUCCAUGUGAGUUCUGAUCUGUGAUUCUCCUUAUCCACCUCAGUCUGAUUUCCCGAAGUGACACUGUGCUCCAAUUUGUUACUCUUCUCCAGCAGUACUGAGACACUAAUUGUUGGGGUGCAUGUAUUUCUAAAACAAGAACUGUAGACUGUGUCCAGCUCUUGCUCUGGCUGUGUGUUCUUUUCGAUGUGUGGAUCUGGUCUUUCCUGGGCCUCAGCUUGAACCUUUGUGAGGUGCUAAGGGGGAAUGGACAGAGAGAUUUGCUGUCAUCCCCUUCAGGGACAGGAUAUGCAAGGCCGCCCCACUCUGCACCCUGAUGAGCAGCAUCC